CCUACGGGAGGCAGCAGUGGGGAAUAUUGGACAAUGGGGGGAACCCUGAUCCAGCGACGCCGCGUGAGUGAAGAAGUAUUUCGGUAUGUAAAGCUCUAUCAGCAGGGAAGAAAGAAAUGACGGUACCUGACUAAGAAGCCCCGGCUAACUACGUGCCAGCAGCCGCGGUAAUACGUAGGGGGCAAGCGUUAUCCGGAAUUACUGGGUGUAAAGGGAGCGUAGACGGCAAUGCAAGUCCGGAGUGGAAUGCGGCAGCUCAACUGCCGAACUGCGCUGGAAACUGUAUGGCUUGAGUGCAGGGGGGGUAAGCGGAAUUCCUGGUGUAGCGGUGAAAUGCGUAGAUAUCAGGAGGAACACCGGUGGCGAAGGCGGCUUACUGGACUGUAACUGACGUUGAGGCUCGAAAGCGUGGGGAGCAAACAGGAUUAGAUACCCCUGUAGUC
rnacentral:rRNA from 1 species